rnacentral:lncRNA from 1 species
AAGAAUAUGCAGGAGAGAGAAGGAGAGCCGCCAUGUGCUAACGGGCCAAGAGAACGUGGCCCAGAGGGCUGCUCAGUUGGGUCAAGAGCAGCCAAGGUGGAACAUAGAAAUUAGUGCCUUGCUGAAGUGCCCGCUCUGAAUGAAGAAGAACUGGGUUCUGCAGUCUGUCCACAGUAAGAAGACUGUAUGUGAGCACAGUCUCCAUGUUCACUGUGCCUCAUGCCAUCCCUGAUAUCAUGGAGGAAAUGAAUGGUCAUUUAAAAAUCCUCAUUGGCUAAAGAGCUGGUGGUUUAAAUGAAUGCAUCUAAUUGCAAACUGUGAAGGGCUGGUCCUAGUAUUAAGAAGAUGGAUGAUUCUGUGAAGGGAAUGUGCUAAGACUUGUUUGUUGAAAAUGGAAUUAUUAAUGGCUUGUCAGUAAAGUUAAGAAUGCCUUAAGUCAUUCCUCUCUUACUCUAUUCAUAGAAGAAAUAAAACAGAUGAAUUUAUAAAGGG